GAUGAACGCUGGCGGCGUGCCUAAUACAUGCAAGUCGAGCGAACUGAUUAGAAGCUUGCUUCUAUGACGUUAGCGGCGGACGGGUGAGUAACACGUGGGCAACCUGCCUGUAAGACUGGGAUAACUUCGGGAAACCGAAGCUAAUACCGGAUAGGAUCUUCUCCUUCAUGGGAGAUGAUUGAAAGAUGGUUUCGGCUAUCACUUACAGAUGGGCCCGCGGUGCGUUAGCUAGUUGGUGAGGUAACGGCUCACCAAGGCAACGAUGCAUAGCCGACCUGAGAAGGUAAUCGGCGACACUUGGCCUGAGACACGGCCCAGCCUCCUACGGGAGGCAGCAGUAGGGAAUCAUCCGCACUGGACGAGAGUCUGAGGGAGCAACGCCGCGUGAGUGAUGAAGGCUUUCGGGUCGUAAAACUCUGUUGUUAGGGAAGAACAAGUACAAGAGUAACUGCUUGUACCUUGACGGUACCUAACCAGAAAGCCACGGCUAACUACGAGUCAGCAGCCGCAGUAACAC
rnacentral:rRNA from 1 species